rfam:Oryza glumipatula chromosome 6, whole genome shotgun sequence.
UACACGUCAAUAUAUUAGAAGAAAAGAAUAUUUGAUUAUCCGUCUUAUUUGAAAUUUCUUUAAAAAAUAUAAAAACAUAAGUCAUACAUAAAGUAUUAUUCAUGUUUUAUCAUCUCAUAACAAUAAAGAUACUAAUUAUAAAAAAUUAAAUAAGAUAGACAAUUAAAGUUAAACACGGAAACUCAUGGUUGUGCUUAAA